AAUUUCUUAUUCCUUAAGCAUUUAAAUUUUAACAAUCAUGCGAACUUCCGUAAGAGUUGACCUUUAAUAUUAGGUCAUUUAAAAAGUAUCCGCGGUUUUUUGUUCAAUUUUUGAAUGAUAUGAUCCAAUAAUAUCUCGUCGAUGACGAGGUACCAGAAAGUAAGUUCCGUUUUUAAAUUUUGCCGCCGCAGCGGCGUAUUUACAAUGGUGCGCAUGCGUGCCGAGUUUAACAAAGGAUUGAGUGAUUGACGCGAUUUUCAAUUAUUGGUUCAGUGUAUACGCAUUAUAGUGCGUAUGUAUAACAGUUUUAUUAGUGUUACUUUUUGUAUUCAGCAUCUAUAUAUUCUCUUUUUUCAAUAUCCGAAUAUAUAUUUAUCUUGUUUUAAGUGUAACAAUUUUUGGAAAUUCAAGCAAUUUCAAGCAACACAAACAGAUCUAAUGUUUAAACAAAUCGCGUCUGUUGCUACGACGUCUGUUUUCUACAAGGGUUUAACUUAAAAAGAUUUAAUUUGAAAGACAUUUUAGGAUGUCCACUAGAUAAAGACAGGAUGCAAUUUGGUCAUCCAGAAACAUCCUAAUGAUAUCUAAACGAUGAUGUCCUAUAGAUGUAGAAUAAGACAUAUAAAUUCUCAAUUUAUCCUUAAAUUUCUUCAGGUACUCUGGAUGUUAGAAAAUCCCUCGACAUACAUCUGUAGGAUCAAGUUUUGCUGUGUGAAUAUUAUAGAGAUAGGUAAAUUUCAUAGGCGGUAAUUUUUUAUGCAAGGAUACAACGCCUGGUACCCCGCUAUAAUAAGUCAUCAACAACAAUGGUAAUUAUGUAGCGGAAUAGUAAGGUGUGUACUUUAAAAAGCAAUAAAAAAUUUUCUGUAAGUAUAGACUUGUUUUCUUUUAAUAGGCCAUCGGAACUUAUUUUCUGGUUAACCCUCAUAUAAAUAGUACAUUGUAAAAGAAAUUUCUUGCAAAAUACAUCCAGAUCGCAGAACAUACUAGUAACAUACAUUUUCGGAAGAUCAUUUCGAGUCUUAUCUCAAAAGUGUCUCCACAGCUACUUUGAUUUAAUACAUAUGAAUACUUUCCACUGCUUCACUAUCUAAGUGUGUCAUAUAAUAAUAGUAAGUUAUAUUUCUAAAUUAAUUAGUACAGAUAACAAUACAAAGUGUUAAUUAGCAUACACUACUUAUAUUUCUGUACUAAACCAUAUUACCUUGAAAGUCUAAGUACGAUUGAUAACAUUUCUUAUAAAACUCUUGUUAACGAAUUAUAUCCUGUGACUUUCUAAAAAAUCAUACAAAAGCUUAUAAAUUCAUACAAGAUGCAGCUGUUAAUUCUUUAUUCUUUAUCAUUGUAACAAUUUUUCUAUGAAUAUGUCUCUAACAUUCGGGACUGCUUUAUUUGGGUGAACACAACUAUCUUUCCUUGCCUCUUGCUCUUUUACAAAGUCAACUAUGAGAAAAUUUUCGAUUUCUAUCAUAUUAUCAAUUUAAGGAAGGACGGAAAUGGAAAAAUCAAUUGGAAUGUACGUAUAUUAACGAAAAUCAAAUUUUAUAGAGAAAAGGAGUUAGAUUUGAUUAAUUACAAAUUUGUUACAGAUAUAAAAAGAUUUUAUACAGAAAACACAUGUGUUCUUUUCGAAUUGUUUGCAAUACGAUCUGUAGUACAAAUUAUAAUUAUACAAAUAUAUUUAUAUUUGUUAAUAUUUUUUUCCCUUCCCCCUCUCCUUGCUACGUCAGUAUUUCAUAUUUGUUUGAAUACUUUGGAUUGCCCUAAUUUAUAUAGAAUAGAGCAACACGUAUUGUAUUAUCACUCAUUUGUAAUAUUGUCCAUUGUAAAAAAAGACUAAUAAAAAGGAAUAUGAUUAUUACUCCAAAAAGAAGUAGAAAAAAAUUGUGCAAUACCAGUAUAGAUGUAAUACCACAACUGCGUUUGGAAAUUUGCUGGCACAUUCAAGAUGUUUCUAUGCAAAAGUAUAAAGUAUUUUUGUCCCAAUAAAGAAUCGAAAAAAAAAAAAAA